rnacentral:lncRNA from 1 species
GACAUGUGGAGAGCUAGAAGAGCACAGGAAGUAAGACAAUUAUGGGGAUUCGAGUGUGCAUUGUGGAGAUGGGACUGGGUCUCGAUCUUGAAGAGUGGAUGGAUGGGCUUUUUAUGGUGGAACCUGAGGACUUGACAGUCUAUUGGAGGAAGUCAUGUGGGCAAUGGGUGGUGGUGGGAAAUGAAGGUGACUUUGAAGAAUGACAGAGUCAUAUCCCUGGAGCAUCAGAUGAGGGAGAGAGGGAGGGAGAGUGAGUUUGGUAUGCUCAGGGAGUGAAGGGGACACUUGUGGACAUGAGAGUGGGG